rnacentral:rRNA from 1 species
GUAGGGGGCAAGCGUUAUCCGGAUUUACUGGGUGUAAAGGGAGCGUAGACGGAUGGACAAGUCUGAUGUGAAAGGCUGGGGCUCAACCCCGGGACUGCAUUGGAAACUGCCCGUCUUGAGUGCCGGAGAGGUAAGCGGAAUUCCUUGUGUAGCGGUGAAAUGCGUAGAUAUUAGGAGGAACACCAGUGGCGAAGGCGGCUUACUGGACAGUAACUGACGUUGAGGCUCGAAAGCGUGGGGAGCAAACAGGAUUAGAUACCCUGGUAGUCCACGCCGUAAACGAUGACUACUAGGUGUCGGGUGGCAAAGCCAUUCGGUGCCGCAGCAAACGCAAUAAGUAGUCCACCUGGGGAGU